CAUGUGCCAAGCCACACUUGUUGGAGACAACUCUUAGCAGUACCGGUUCCAGACUCCAACGGGAGCACGGCAAGUGGGGGGACAUUGCACAUGGGCGCAGCCCGAAUGCAGGCAUGCCGCGUGUGGGAAAAGGCCUUAGGGUUGUAAGCAACUUUCAGCGAGGAGGAAAGGUUUCAGUGUUAUAAGCCACUGGUCCAUGGACGUUACUCGCAGAAGAGCCACCGGCUAAACUCCGUGCCAGCAGCCGGCGGUAAUACCGGAGGGUGCAAGCCGUUAAUCGGAAUUACUGGGCGUAAGGCGCACGCAGGCGGUUUGUUUAGUCAGAUGUGGAAUCCCCGCGCUUAACGUGGGAACUGCAUUUGAAACUGGCAAGCUAGAGUCUUGUAGAGGGGGGUAGAAUUCCCAGGUGUAGCGGUGAAAUGCGUAGAGAUCUGGAGGAAUACCGGUGGCGAAGGCGGCCCCCUGGACAAAGACUGACGCUCAGGUGCGAAAGCGUGGGGAGCAAACAGGAUUAGAUACCCCUGGUAGUCCACGCUGUAAACGAUGUCGAUUUGGAGGUUGUGCCCUUGAGGCGUGGCUUCCGGAGCUAACGCGUUAAAUCGACCGCCUGGGGAGUACGGCCGCAAGGUUAAAACUCAAAUGAAUUGACGGGGGCCCGCACAAGCGGUGGAGCAUGUGGUUUAAUUCGAUGCAACGCGAAGAACCUUACCUACUCUUGACAUCCAGAGAAUUCGCUAGAGAUAGCUUAGUGCCUUCGGGAACUCUGAGACAGGCGCUGCAUGGCUGUCGUCAGCUCGUGUUGUGAAAUGUUGGGUUAAGUCCCGCAACGAGCGCAACCCUUAUCCUUUGUUGCCAGCGAUUCGGUCGGGAACUCAAAGGAGACUGCCGGUGAUAAACCGGAGGAAGGUGGGGAUGACGUCAAGUCAUCAUGGCCCUUACGAGUAGGGCUACACACGUGCUACAAUGGCGUAUACAAAGAGAAGCGAACUCGCGAGAGCAAGCGGACCUCAUAAAGUACGUCGUAGUCCGGAUUGGAGUCUGCAACUCGACUCCAUGAAGUCGGAAUCGCUAGUAAUCGUAGAUCAGAAUGCUACGGUGAAUACGUUCCCGGGCCUUGUACACACCGCCCGUCACACCAUGGGAGUGGGUUGCAAAAGAAGUUGUAGCUUAACCUUCGGGAGGGCGCUUACCACUUUGUGAUUCAUGACUGGGGUGAAGUCGUAAAAAAGUCCCUUAGGGCCCA
rnacentral:rRNA from 1 species